AUUGAACGCUGGCGGCAGGCCUAACACAUGCAAGUCGAACGAGUGGCGGACGGGUGAGUAAUGUCUGGGAAACUGCCUGCUGGAGGGGGAUAACGACUGGAAACGGUAGCUAAUACCGCAUACCAUCGGAUGUGCCCAGAUGGGAUUAGCUAGAAGUGGGGGUAACGGCUCACCAAGGCGACGAUCCCUAGCUGGUCUGAGAGGAUGACCGGCCACACUGGAACUGGGACACGGUCCAGACUCCUACGGGAGGCAGCAGUGGGGAAUAUUGCACAAGGGGCGCAAGCCUGAUGCAGCCAGGCCGCGUGGAUGAAGAAGGCCUUCGGGUUGUAAAGUACGUUCAGCGGGGAGGCGGUACCCGCACAGGAAGCACCGGCUAACUCCGUGCCAGCCGCCGCGGUAAUUC
rnacentral:rRNA from 1 species